rnacentral:rRNA from 1 species
AGAGUUUGAUCCUGGCUCAGAUUGAACGCUGGCGGCAUGCCUUACACAUGCAAGUCGAACGGCAGCACGGGUGCUUGCACCUGGUGGCGAGUGGCGAACGGGUGAGUAAUACAUCGGAACGUACCUUAUCGUGGGGGAUAACGCAGCGAAAGUUGCGCUAAUACCGCAUACGCCCUGAGGGGGAAAGCGGGGGACCGUAAGGCCUCGCGCGAUUAGAGCGGCCGAUGUCUGAUUAGCUUGUUGGUGAGGUAAAAGCUCACCAAGGCGAUGAUCAGUAGCUGGUCUGAGAGGACGAUCAGCCACACUGGGACUGAGACACGGCCCAGACUCCUACGGGAGGCAGCAGUGGGGAAUUUUGGACAAUGGGGGCAACCCUGAUCCAGCAAUGCCGCGUGAGUGAAGAAGGCCUUCGGGUUGUAAAGCUCUUUUGUCAGGGAAGAAACAGCAGCUCUAACACAGUCUGCGAAUGACGGUACCUGAAGAAUAAGCACCGGCUAACUACGUGCCAGCAGCCGCGGUAAUACGUAGGGUGCGAGCGUUAAUCGGAAUUACUGGGCGUAAAGCGUGCGCAGGCGGUUAUACAAGACAGGCGUGAAAUCCCCGGGCUUAACCUGGGAAUGGCGUCUGUGACUGUAUAGCUAGAGUGUGUCAGAGGGGGGUGGAAUUCCACGUGUAGCAGUGAAAUGCGUAGAUAUGUGGAGGAACACCAAUGGCGAAGGCAGCCC